rnacentral:rRNA from 1 species
GUCUACAGCCAUGCUACCCUGAACAAGCCUGAUCCCGUCUGAUCUCGGAAGGUAAACAGGGUCGGGCCUGGUUAGUACUUGGAUGGGAGACCACCUAGGAAGACCAGGUGCUGUAGGCA